rnacentral:tRNA from 1 species
GGGCCGAAAGCUCAUCAGGUAUGAGCAAUCCCCUCAUAAGGGAAAGGUAGGCAGGUUCGAAUCCUCCACGGCCCA